rnacentral:rRNA from 1 species
AGAGUUUGAUCCUGGCUCAGAACGAACGCUGGCGGCAGGCUUAACACAUGCAAGUCGAACGGGCGCAGCAAUGCGUCAGUGGCGCACGGGUGAGUAACGCGUGGAUAUCUGCCUUCUGGUUCGGGAUAACCUUGGGAAACUAGGGCUAAUACCGAAUGGUUCCUACGGGAUAAAGAUUUAUCGCCGGAAGAUGAGUCCGC